UUCCGGUUGAUCCUGCCAGAGGUUACUGCUAUCGGAGUUCGAUUAAGCCAUGCGAGUCUAAAGGUUUCUUCGGAAACCUUGGCGGACUGCUCAGUAACACGUGGAUAACCUACCCUUGGGACUGGAAUAACCCCGGGAAACUGGGGAUAAUACCGGAUAGAUCAGGGAUGCUGGAAUGCACCUUGAUCCAAAGCUCCGGCGCCCAAGGAUGGGUCCGCGGCCUAUCAGGUAGUAGUGGGUGUAACGUACCUACUAGCCAACGACGGGUACGGGUUGUGAGAGCAAGAGCCCGGAGAUGGAUUCUGAGACACGAAUCCAGGCCCUACGGGGUGCAGCAGGCGCGAAACCUUUACAAUGUGCGAAAGCAUGAUAAGGGAACUCCGAGUGCCAGUAUCUAAUACUGGCUGUCCUUGUGCCUAAAACGCACAAGAUAGCAAGGGCCGGGUAAGACCGGUGCCAGCCGCCGCGGUAACACCGGCGGCCCGAGUGGUAGCCGCUAUUAUUGGGUCUAAAGGGUCCGUAGCCGGUUCGAUAAGUCCUCUGGGAAAUCUGGUUGCUUAACAAUCAGACUGCCAAGGGAUACUGUCGAACUUGAGACCGGGAGAGGUAAGAGGUACUUCAGGGGUAGGAGUGAAAUCUUGUAAUCCCUGGGGGACCAUCUGUGGCGAAGGCGUCUUACCAGAACGGGUCUGACGGUGAGGGACGAAAGCUGGGGGCGCAAACCGGAUUAGAUACCCGGGUAGUCCCAGCCGUAAACGAUGCUCGCUAUGUGUCAGGUACGGUGUGACCGUAUCUGGUGCCGUAGGGAAGCCGUGAAGCGAGCCACCUGGGAAGUACGGCCGCAAGGCUGAAACUUAAAGGAAUUGGCGGGGGAGCUGAAGGUCAGGCUGAAGACCUUACCAGAUCCGCUGAGAGGAAGUGCAUGGCCGUCGUCAGUUCGUACUGUGAAGCAUCCUGUUAAGUCAGGCAACGAGCGAGACCCGUGCCCACAGUUGCCAGCAUACCCUUCGGGGUGAUGGGUACUUUGUGGGGACCGCCGCUGCUAAAGCGGAGGAAGGAGCGGGUUACGGUAGGUCAGUAUGCUCCGAAACUCCCGGGCUACACGCGGGCUACAAUGGUUGGGACAAUGGGAAUCAACACCGAAAGGUGAAGGCAAUCUCCUAAACCCAAUCGAAGUCCGGAUUGAGGGCUGCAACUCGCCCUCAUGAAGCUGGAAUCCGUAGUAAUCGCGUUUCAACACAGCGCGGUGAAUACGUCCCUGCUCCUUGCACACACCGCCCGU
rnacentral:rRNA from 1 species